rnacentral:snRNA from 1 species
GUCUGCAAAUCUAUCGGACAUCAGAUAAAAAAUUGGAACGACACUGAGAAGAUUAGUAUGCGCCCUGCUCAAGAAUAAAACACAAGUUGAAAAAUGAUCCAAAUUUAA